rnacentral:rRNA from 1 species
GAUGAACGCUGGCGGCGUGCCUAAUACAUGCCAGUCGAGCGAACGGACGAGAAGCUUGCUUUUCUGAUGUUAGCGGCGGACGGGUGAGUAACACGUGGAUAACCUACCUAUAAGACUGGGAUAACUUCGGGAAACCGGAGCUAAUACCGGAUAAUAUUUUGAACCGCAUGGUUCAAAAGUGAAAGACGGUCUUGCUGUCACUUAUAGAUGGAUCCGCGCUGCAUUAGCUAGUUGGUAAGGUAACGGCUUACCAAGGCAACGAUGCAUAGCCGACCUGAGAGGGUGAUCGGCCACACUGGAACUGAGACACGGUCCAGACUCCUACGGGAGGCAGCAGUAGGGAAUCUUCCGCAAUGGGCGAAAGCCUGACGGAGCAACGCCGCGUGAGUGAUGAAGGUCUUCGGAUCGUAAAACUCUGUUAUUAGGGAAGAACAUAUGUGUAAGUAACUGUGCGCAUCUUGACGGUACCUAAUCAGAAAGCCACGGCUAACUACGUG